rnacentral:lncRNA from 1 species
GGAUGAAUAAAAUCUUUAAAAUAUAUAUAUAUAUAUAUAUAUUUUAAGAGUUUCCAGAUGGAUUCCCCGAAAGCAGGCGCCUUCCGGAGAUUCCUGGCCGGACACCAGUCCACGGAAACCUGCCGCGUCCCACCUCGCCCCACCCCCUUCGUCCUCCGUGGAUUCUAGGAGAACGCACCUUCCUUCUGCGAUUGAAGAACUUGCCGAGGUUUCUUCUCCACCUCACAGCUCCUGGCGGCCUGGAACCAGCGAGUCCCCUCGGGGCCGCCUCGACGCCAGGCGUCCCCGCCGCUGUUCACAGCAAAUCGCUUAA